rnacentral:rRNA from 1 species
AAACUUUCAACAACGGAUCUCUUGGUUCUCGCAUCGAUGAAGAACGCAGCGAAACGCGAUAUGUAAUGUGAAUUGCAGAAUUUUGUGAAUCAUCGAAUCUUUGAACGCACAUUGCGCCCUCUGGUAUUCCGGAGGGCAUACCUGUUUGAGCGUCAGUU